UUUUUGGAGGUCACUCCUGUUGGAGUUUUUCCUGAGAGCCUAUGACUUGGAUGAACAGCUUGCAAGUUAAGGUCACAAAUCCAUGAUCAUCUCUCAACAAAAAAAGAGUAUCUAACACGUCAUUAGACAGAAGCUACCAACUGUUUGACCUGAUCUUAAACAUGGAUUCAUCUCUAACAAAGAUCAUGUUAUUAAGGAGUAUCAUCUAUCAGAAGAGCCUUCAGCACCUCGGAAGGUGUGUGUUGUCUUUCUUCUCUGGGGUAUCAAAGUGAUUCUUCUCCAACCACAAGGAACACAGCAGAUCAGUUCAAGGGCAAGGAUACUCAGGCCCAGAGUCAAUUCCCCUCAUCAAGGAACUUGUCACACUAGUUAUUAUUGAAAGCUACCUAUAAGAAAGUUUGAUAGCUCUUACAGAUACUUGCGCAUCAGGUGUUUUUGUUGCUCAUUUCCAGCUUACUCUGAGAAGAUUGCUCUCAUAAGGACCUGAAUCAAUGGUACCAGAUGAUUGUAUUGUGAAGGCCAGGUGCAGGAAAGAUACCAGAUUUGUGACUCUGAGGAACUUGGACAAAACGGGUGUACCCAUGGUUAUGGAUAUGGAAGUCUGGAUUCUACACAUGCUUUAUCCUGCUUUCUAGCAAGUAACAAAUAACCCAAAUAAGAUGAAUAGGUACUGAAGUGAACCUGACCUUAAGAUCCUCUGAUGGAUUUAGAAACUGGAAAAUGCUACCAGAAGAUACUGCCACAGUUUUUUAUUUGCAGUUGUGUAAAAUACUUAUUUAUAAUAGUUCCAUGUACCUGAGGGUAGGAACUUUCUUGGUUCUCUGUGGGCUUAAGACAGGUGCACUUUUGUGGUGAAGACCACUUCUGGCAUCUUAUUUGCCUGGUAUUGUGGGUACAAAAUAAAGCAACUCUGUUGGCCUGACGUGAAUUUCUUUUCUAUCUUCAUAGAAAAAAAUGACCAGACUAAACAAAAUAUGUGUUAAUUUCCAAGUUUUGCUAGAGAACUUUGACAGAAAGCUGUUCUUUCAAGAACAAGCUAGCAGCUAACACAAAUGGUAUGAGCAUGGAAAUGGGGCUAGAGUGGUGGAGAUCAUUCUCACAAGGCACUGUGUGUCAAAGAUUCACUGAAUUUUGGUUGGUGAAACAUGUUUUCUCUAAAUCACUUAAUACAAUCUACUUUCAUUGUGAGCAUGUGAGAAACAGAUUUAGCCUCUUGACCUCCAUGGCUUGGAACAGCCUGUGACAAUAACUUAAACUCUAAGGUAGAGAGAGCACUGGACUUCCUAGCAGCACAGAGCUCUAGCUACAAGGAAGUACACUGUGUGUGCUUUCUCUGAAGUGCAUGAUUGGGUCUGGAGAGAGACACUUUGACACAGACUGCUUUUGAGAACAGAUUGUAAAAGGCUUUGUUUCCAUUCCACUGCAAAAUGGCAAAAGACUUCAAAAUAUUGAAUAGUGUCAGGAAAUGGGCUUUCAACCUUUAGUUAAGCUUCCGUCAUCCCACUGCUCCAUUCAGAUUAAAUUAUUUUGAACAAAUAUUUUCAGGAGAACAGAGAAAAUAUAAAAAGUACUAUGUAAUACAUAGAAUGUUGUUCCAUAUGUCAGUGCUGUUUUACUUGUUAUACUCACUGUUAAGUUUAUGAGCAUCUUAUUGUUAUACAGCAUGAUGAAAAUGAAUUCUAAAUAGAGUAUCAAAAUUAAAAACAUAUGACGUCUGUUGAC
ensembl:lncRNA